GACGAACGCUGGCGGCGUGCCUAAUACAUGCAAGUAGAACGCACAGUUUAUACCGUAGCUUGCUACACCAUAGACUGUGAGUUGCGAACGGGUGAGUAACGCGUAGGUAACCUGCCUGGUAGCGGGGGAUAACUAUUGGAAACGAUAGCUAAUACCGCAUAAUAUUGAUUAUUGCAUGAUAAUUAAUUGAAAGGUGCAAUUGCACCACUACCAGAUGGGCCUGCGUUGUAUUAGCUAGUAGGUGAGGUAACGGCUCACCUAGGCGACGAUACAUAGCCGACCUGAGAGGGUGAUCGGCCACACUGGGACUGAGACACGGCCCAGACUCCUACGGGAGGCAGCAGUAGGGAAUCUUCGGCAAUGGACGAAAGUCUGACCGAGCAACGCCGCGUGAGUGAAGAAGGUUUUCGGAUCGUAAAGCUCUGUUGUAAGAGAAGAACGGGUGUGAGAGUGGAAAGUUCACACUGUGACGGUAUCUUACCAGAAAGGGACGGCUAACUACGUG
rnacentral:rRNA from 1 species